rnacentral:rRNA from 1 species
CAUGGAGUUUGAUCCUGGCUCAGGAUGAACGCUAGCGGCAGGCUUAACACAUGCAAGUCGAGGGGUAUAGUUCUUCGGAGCUAGAGACCGGCGCACGGGUGCGUAACGCGUAUGUAAUCUACCUUUACAGAGGGAUAGCCCAGAGAAAUUUGGAUUAAUACCUCAUAGUAUGUGAGAAUCGCAUGGUUUUCACAUUAAAGUUCCAACGGUAAAAGAUGAGCAUGCGUCCCAUUAGCUAGAUGGUAAGGUAACGGCUUACCA